AGAGGGAAAGACUGUGUAAACAACACUGUGUUUGAAUUCUGGAAAGCUGCAUCCAAGAGGUUUGCAAGAAGUUCCUGUGGUGUGGUCCAGGCGGUGCUCAACGGGUCCCACAAUAACACCUUUGAUAAAAACAGCAUUUUUCUAAGUGUGGAAGUCCCUAAUUUGAAUCCAAAGAAUGUUACUUCAUUUCAUCUCUUCCUGACGUAUGAGACUGGAGGAAAUGUCAGGCACAGAUGCUUGAGUGACGAGGUCGAUUAUCUGAAAUCGAUUGUAAAUGAGAAUGGAAUUCCAUUUACCUGCGAGGAGAUUACAGAAAAUGACUUGCUCUUGAAGAAGAAAUAGCCAUCUUGCCAUCUGUGGGCAUUUUCCCUGGGGCCUGGAUGGAGAUCUGGGAUGGUGACCUAUGGUGACCUCUCUUCCUCCGCCUCCACCCCCCAGCCUCCCCCAGAAGUGUUCACAGCCAGGGACCUUCUGAAGAAAACAGGCUGC